UACGUAGGGUGCGAGCGUUGUCCGGAAUUAUUGGGCGUAAAGAGCUUGUAGGCGGUUUGUCGCGUCUGCCGUGAAAAUUCGAGGCUCAACCUCGAACUUGCGGUGGGUACGGGCAGACUAGAGUGUGGUAGGGGAGACUGGAAUUCCUGGUGUAGCAGUGAAAUGCGUAGAGAUCAUGAGAAGACCAGUGCGAAGGCGGGUCUCUGGACAGUUCCUGACACUGAGGCACGAAGGCCAGGGGAGCAAACGGG
rnacentral:rRNA from 1 species